UGGACCUCUGGUUAGGUUUUUAUCCAAAAUUAUGAGAAGUUUUGGGUUACAUAUCACUUCCCAAGGAUGUUGGUCCCCAAAAUUCUUUUAAAGAAGCUUCAUAAAGCUGGAAAACAAGCACAGGUUUGGAGCCAAGACAAUAAUCAAAUGAACUGUUCACCAAAAGAAAAGGAAAAAGUUGAUGAUCAAAUUACAUUAGUGCAGCCAUUAAUGUCCAUUUAUUUCCAAGCCCCCUCAUACUCCUCCUGCAUUGUUUAGCAAGAAGAGAUUAGCUCAGAUAAAGCAUGAUGAUCAUCAACAGAUCAUGAACAAAUUAUCCAUUCUACUAAGCCAGCAGCUUCAUUUGUUUGUGUUAUUGCAUCUUUGAACCUUGUUAUGCAGUGGCUGUGCCUGCCCUCAUGGCCGCCCUUCCUGGCCACGUGAGGGGUUAGGUCUGUGGGCCCGUAGUUGGGUUGACCGAGUUCGUGUGGUGGGCCUGUUGGUCAGGAACUGUGUCGAGGACUUGUGGGCCUGUUGGUGAGGAACUGGGUCGAGGACUUGUGGGCCUGGAGCUGGGCCGAGACAUGCCUGGGCCGAGACAUGCGUGGGCUUCGCGCCUGGUAGGUUGUGGGCCGGUGGGCUCGUAUGCCCUGGGAUGCUGGAUCGGUCUACAUGUCGGGUUCGGGUUGACCCAACUCUAUGGCUCGUGGACCUCUUUUUCUCUGCAGAAGCUACAAAUUUUGAUUCCUCUGGUGAGCUCAACGACGUUGGUUCUACGGUAGAUUUACAAUGUAAAUCUUCCCAAAACACGGUAGAUCACGCAGGGUAGAACUUUAGAAGAAGUUCGGAGGAGACCGAGCUCAAGUUCAAUGAAAACGAAAGAGGGAAGGAUUCUGAUCUGUGACAACAAUUUACGAUUUUUCAACAAAGAACUAAUUCGGUGUGAUGCUUGAAAACCAAAUUUAAAUGAGGGAGAAGAUUGGGAGAGCAUUUCUAAA